CAUAGUGGUUCUGAGCGACGCC
rnacentral:siRNA from 1 species